rnacentral:rRNA from 1 species
UGGGCAACCUGCCCUCAGCUCUGGGAUAACUCCAAGAAAUUGAGGCUAAUACCGGAUAUGACUGCUGACCGCAUGGUCUGGUGGUGGAAAGAUUUAUCGGCUGGGGAUGGGCCCGCGGCCUAUCAGCUUGUUGGUGGGGUAGUGGCCUACCAAGGCGACGACGGGUAGCCGGCCUGAGAGGGUGACCGGCCACACUGGGACUGAGACACGGCCCAGACUCCUACGGGAG